GAGUUUGAUCCUGGCUCAGGAUAAACGCUGGCGGCGUGCUUCAGGCAUGCAAGUCGAACGGACCUUCGGGUCAGUGGCGGACGGGUGAGUAACACGUAAGCAACCUGCCCAGAAGUGGGGAAUAACCCACCGAAAGGUGAGCUAAUACCGCAUGUGAUGGACUUUCUCUGGAGGGUUCAUUAAAGGCUUCGGUCGCUUCUGAGGGGCUUGCGCUCGAUUAGCUAGUUGGUGGGGUAAUGGCCUACCAAGGCAACGAUCGAUAGCUGGUCUGAGAGGACGGUCAGCCACACGGGGACUGAGAUACGGCCCCGACUCCUACGGGAGGCAGCAGCUAGGAAUCUUGGGAAUGGGCGAAAGCCUGACCCAGCAACGCCGCGUGGGCGAUGAAGGCCUUAGGGUCGUAAAGCCCUUUUGUGGGGGACGACGAUGACGGUACCCCACGAAUAAGCCACGGCUAACUACGUGCCAGCAGCCGCCGUAAG
rnacentral:rRNA from 1 species